rnacentral:rRNA from 1 species
AUUGAACGCUGGCGGCAGGCCUAACACAUGCAAGUCGAGCGGUAGAGUGAAGCUUGCUUCUCUUGAGAGCGGCGGACGGGUGAGUAAUGCCUAGGAAUCUGCCUGAUAGUGGGGGAUAACGUCCGGAAACGGGCGCUAAUACCGCAUCCGUCCUACGGGAGAAAGUGGGGGCUCUUCGGACCUCACGCUAUCAGAUGAGCCUAGGUCGGAUUAGCUAGUUGGUGGGGUAAAGGCUCACCAAGGCGACGAUCCGUAACUGGUCUGAGAGGAUGAUCAGUCACACUGGAACGGAGACACGGUCCAGACUCCUACGGGAGGCAGCAGUGGGGAAUAUUGGACAAUGGGCGAAAGCCUGAUCCAGCCAUGCCGCGUGUGUGAAGAAGGUCUUCGGAUUGUAAAGCACUUUAAGUUGGGAGGAAGGGUCGUUACCUAAUACGUGACGAUUUUGACGUUACCGACAGAAUAAGCACCGGCUAACUCUGUGCCAGCAGCCGCCGUAACAC